UACGUAGGGUGCGAGCGUUAAUCGGAAUUACUGGGCGUAAAGCGUGCGCAGGCGGCUAUUUUAAGCUUGCUGUGAAAGCCCCCGGGCUUAACCUGGGAACUGCAGUGAGGACUGGAUGGCUGGAGUGUGGCAGAGGGGGGUGGAAUUCCAGCGUGUAGCAGUGAAAUGCGUAGAGAUGUGGAGGAACACCGAUGGCGAAGGCAGCCCCCUGGGCUAACACUGACGCCUCAGGCACGAAAGCGUGGGGAGCAAACAGG
rnacentral:rRNA from 1 species